GCUCCACGGACUGAGCUGCUCGCGGAGGGGAAGGAGCCCGUACCGGCGCCGUUGGCAGGAGAGCCCCCAGAGCCAGGGCAGACCUCAGGAAGUGGACGGAUCCGCUCAUCACCUGCUGACAUCCCAGUGGGCACCUGACUCAAGAGAAAACCGAGGUUCAGAAAGGGAGCAUGACCUUGGCUCGGCAGCACCCAGCGCUGAAGCUGGACCAGGACGGACCUUGUGUCCUGUCUCAGAGCCCAAGGCGUCGCCCAAGACUGGAGAGGUGAAGGCGUCUCCACUGGCAGGAAAGUCUUCCUCCUCCUGCCCCGACCAGAGCUGUGUUUUGCUUCAAGGUUCAGGUGCAGAAGAGCUUCUGCACGGAGUCCCCAAAUGCCGGUGAGUCCCGGCCUCAGGGUCCUUGACAUCGCGCAGGCUGGAGGAGGUUUGAAAACUAAUAAAGGGAAACGUCACUAAAAGGAAGUCGGGAGAGCAGAAGUGGGAGCGCAGAAGUGGGAGCUCCCACGGGGCAGCGCUCAAGUGCAAAGACAGGGAGUGUCGUCAGUUACAGACCCGAGCAGAAGAAGCAUCAACAGGAAAGAAGCAUCGAUUACAGGCCCCAACAGAAAAACAUGUACGUUGCAUCUCCUGCAAGAAAUCAGCAACUUGGCAAUGAGAAACCGUCAUCACCCUGAACUUUCACUUUUCUCCAGUGGGCUUGGGUUCAAAACCACCUCCCUCAGCUUCCUCCUCUUUCUCUGUAAAGUAAGGUUCCUUCCUCUCCUUUGUCUGUGGGACUUGCCUGUGGCUUUUGCUAUAGCUUGCUUGUCCUGAAUUGCAAUUCUUCCGCUAUCCCUGAAUAAACCCUUUUUGUUGGAGA